UACGAAGGGGGCUAGCGUUGCUCGGAAUCACUGGGCGUAAAGGGUGCGUAGGCGGGUCUUUAAGUCAGGGGUGAAAUCCUGGAGCUCAACUCCAGAACUGCCUUUGAUACUGAGGAUCUUGAGUACGGGAGAGGUGAGUGGAACUGCGAGUGUAGAGGUGAAAUUCGUAGAUAUUCGCAAGAACACCAGUGGCGAAGGCGGCUCACUGGCCCGUUACCGACGCUCAGGCGCGACAGCGUGGGGAGCAAACAGG
rnacentral:rRNA from 1 species